GGCAUAGUAACGGUUAAAUUGAAAGUCGAUCGUAACUACGUAAACUGUAUCCCUGAUGUUUCAGACUGACGGGUGAGUAACACGUGUGCUACCUGCCUGUAAGACUGGGAUAACUCCGGGAAACCGGAGCUAAUACCGGACGCUUGUUUGAACCGCAGGGAUUCAAACAUAAAAUGUGGCUUUUGCUACCACUUACAAAUCGAUCCCCGACUCACUAGCUAGUUGGUGAAGUAACCGCCCACCCAAGCAUCCAUUCCUAGCCCAACAGGAAGGGUGAUCAGCCACACUGGGACUCAGACCCCACCCACACUCCUACGGGAGGCAUCAGUAAGGAAUCUUCCUCAGUGGACGAAAGUCCGACCGAGCCACCCCGCGUGAAUGAUGAAGGUUUUCCGAUCGGACAGCUCUGUUGUUAAGGAAGAACAAGUACCGUUCCAAUAAGGCGGUACCUUGACCGUACCUAACCACAAAGCCACGGCUAACUACCUGCCACCCGCCGCGGUAAUACGUACGUGGCAAACGCUGUCCGGAAUUAUUGGGCGUAAACGGCUCGCAGGCAGUUUCUUAAGUCUGAAGUCAAAGCCCCCGGCUCAACCUGUGAAGGUCAUUGGAAACUGGGGAACUUGAGUGCAGAAUAGGAGAAUUGAAUUCCACGUGUAGCGGUGAAAUGAGUACAAAUGUUGAGAACACCAAUGGCCAAGGCCACUCUCUGGCCCGGACCCGACGCUUAGGAACCAAAGCGUGGGGAGCGAACCAGAUUUGAUACCCUGGUACUCCAACCCUAAACGAUGAGUGCUAAGUGUUCAGGGGGUUCCGCCCCUUAGUGCUGACGUAACGCAUUAACACUCCGCCUGGGGAGUCCGUCACAGAAUGAACUGAAGGAAUGACGGGGCCCACCAAGCGGUGUAGCAUUUUGUUUAAUUCAAAGCAACCCAAAUAACCUUUCAGGUCUUGGCAUCCUCUUACAACCUAAAAAUAGGACCUCCCCUCCGGGGCAAAUGGACUGGGGUGCAUGCUUUCCUCAACUCCGGCCUAAAAAGUUUUGGGUAAAUCCCCCAACGACUCCAUCCUUGACUUAGUUGCCGCAUUUAGUGGGCCUCCUAAGGGACUGCCGUGACAACCCGGAAAAAGGGGGGGGGUACCUCCAAUUUGCUGCCCCUUUAAACGGGGCUACCACUGUUUCAGUGGACAAAAAAAGGGGGCCGAACCCCUAGGUUAACCAAUCCCAAAAUGUUUCGUUUUGGAAGUCUUGGUCAACCCCCCUGGGUAAUUUGAAACAAUCAAAUCAGAAAUCAAUCAGCUCAG
rnacentral:rRNA from 1 species